GCCUUCGUAGCUCAGGGGAUAGAGCGUCGGUUUCCGGUACCGUAGGUCGGGGGUUCGAAUCCCUCCGAGGGCAC
rnacentral:tRNA from 1 species